GUAGCAAUAGCUUAAAUAGAGCAAUGGUCUUGUAAGCCAGAGGUGAAAUAUAUAUUCUUGCUGCU
rnacentral:tRNA from 1 species